UACGUAAGGGGCAAGCGUUGUCCGGAAUCACUGGGCGUAAAGGGUGCGUAGGCGGGUUUUUAAGUCAGGGGUGAAAUCCUGGAGCUCAACUCCAGAACUGCCUUUGAUACUGAGGAUCUUGAGUUCGGGAGAGGUGAGUGGAACUGCGAGUGUAGAGGUGAAAUUCGUAGAUAUUCGCAAGAACACCAGUGGCGAAGGCGGCUCACUGGCCCGAUACUGACGCUGAGGCACGAAAGCGUGGGGAGCAAACAGG
rnacentral:rRNA from 1 species